GCCACGGUGGUCUAGCGGAUAGAACGCUGGCCUUGUAAUCCUGGGGUCCCGGGUUCGAUUCCCGACGGUGCCC
rnacentral:tRNA from 1 species